rnacentral:rRNA from 1 species
GAUGAACGCUGGCGGCGUGCCUAAUACAUGCAAGUCGAGCGAACAGAUGAGGAGCUUGCUCCUCUGACGUUAGCGGCGGACGGGUGGGUAACACGUGGAUAACCUACCUAUAAGACUGGGAUAACUUCGGGAAACCGGAGCUAAUACCGGAUAAUAUAUUGAACCGCAUGGUUCAAUAGUGAAAGACGGUUUUGCUGUCACUUAUAGAUGGAUCCGCGCCGCAUUAGCUAGUUGGUAAGGUAACGGCUUACCAAGGCAACGAUGCGUAGCCGACCUGAGAGGGUGAUCGGCCACACUGGAACUGAGGCACGGUCCAGACUCCUACGGGAGGCAGCAGUAGGGAAUCUUCCGCAAUGGGCGAAAGCCUGACGGAGCAACGCCGCGUGAGUGAUGAAGGUCUUCGGAUCGUAAAACUCUGUUAUUAGGGAAGAACAAAUGUGUAAGUAACUAUGCACGUCUUGACGGUACCUAAUCAGAAAGCCACGGCUAACUACGUG